rnacentral:rRNA from 1 species
AUGGAUGAGGUCACAAGGGGUAUACAAGGAGAUAUCCCAUGGUGUAUGCUCUUUGCGGAUGAUGUGGUGCUAGUUGACGAUAGUCGGACGGGGGUAAAUAGGAAGUUAGAGUUAUGGAGACAAACCUUGGAAUCAAAAGGGUUUAGGCUUAGUAGAACUAAAACCGAGUACAUGAUGUGCGGUUUCAGUACUACUAGCUGUGAGGAGGAGGAGGUUAGCCUUGAUGGCCAGGUGGUACCUCGGAAGGACACCUUUCGGUAUUUGGGGUCAAUGUUGCAGGAGGAUGGGGGUAUUGAUGAAGAUGUGAACCAUCGAAUCAAAGCCGGAUGGAUGAAGUGGCGCCAAGCUUCUGGCAUUCUCUGUGACAAGAGAGUGCCACAAAAGCUAAAAGGCAAGUUCUACAGGACGACGGUUCGACCCGCAAUGUUGUAUGGCGCGGAGUGUUGGCCAACUAAAAGGCGACAUGUUCAACAGUUAGGUGUGGCGGAGAUGCGUAUGUUGAGAUGGGUGUGUGGCCACACGAGGAAGGAUCGAGUCCGGAAUGAUGAUAUACGAGAUAGAGUUGGGGUAGCACCAAUUGAGGAGAAGCUUGUCCAACAUCGUUUGAGAUAG